rnacentral:tRNA from 1 species
AGGGCUGAGGUGUUACUGGUAGCAUCCCGGACUCUUAAUCCGAGAGGUGAGGGUUCAAGUCCCUCCGGCCCUA